CUCUUCAUUUCACACUACACCCUCACGAUUCAUCACUCAUCCCUCUGAAUGCUUCAUCGGCGGCGCUAUCAGCAUUGCACCGCCGUCUCACCGAACCUCCAUUGCACUCUACUUCCAUCGGCCUUGCUCGCAUCACUCCCUUCCGUCGCACCCCUUCCUGGUUCUUUUCGUCGCACCCCUUCCAUCGGCCUUGCUCGCUUCGCUCCCUUUUGAACCCUAAUGUGUGUUUCUCUCUUCAAUCUCGCCACUAGUGCUUGCUCUUUUCCGUGUGUUGCUGUGUUUCUCUCUUCGAUCAUGCCUCAGCUGUGAAGAUAACCUAAUCUCUUUUCUCUUUCAUCGCUGUUUUCUUUCUUUCAAUACCAUCGCUAACUCUAAUUAUAUUAUCCUAUGUUCCAUCGCUAACUAUGAUUCUAUUUCCUAUUCUAUGAUAAGAACUUGUAACAGUUAUAGUUUUUUAUUUUGUGUUCUUAUAAACAUGUUCGUGAAAUCAAGGUUCCUGAAUGCAUUGACUAGUUUUAUUUUUAUUGCUGAGGAAGAGGAGGAGGAAGCAGAGAUAGAGUAUAUGGAAGGUUAUGAUGAACUUGAAGAGGAAGAUGACACGAAGGAUUUUGUUAAUUUUAGAAUUGAUGAUGCUGGUGGUGAUCACAAUGAUGAAAAUGCUAGAAGCUCUGAAGAUGAAGAGGCAGAAGCAGCUGCUCAGAGAAGGGUGAAACGGAAGAAUAAGUUAGCUUUAAUGAAAUCUGAGAAGGAUUCUGUUGAUCUUAAAUCAAAGAAGGCAAAGGUCCUUGUUGAGGCCCACAGAGCCGUUAGGAUGGUGGGCCGGUGACAUUAUAUUGGGCGGAAGGGAUGAGCUUGGCGGUGGCACAUGGUUGGGCUCCACCAGAGAUGGAAGGGUGGCUUUCCUCACCAAUUUCAGGGAAGUUGAAAGCCUUCUGGAACCCAAGACCAGGGGAGACUUGCCCCUCCGAUUCCUUCAGUGCUCUCACGUCAGAAAUCAAUUAAAUGGAAAGGAACAACAUGUUUUGAAUCACUCCAUAAGCCUGAAGGUGCAUCAUAGUUAAAUUUAUACUUGCAUAUGGGUAUCUGCACCAAAUAAUGGAGGGUACUUAGAUGACAAGUGGGUUCAAGGGGGGACCAACCUUGAUGCUUAUGAAAUUCGGCAUUGGCAUUUGAUCGAUGUUUUUGUCUACUUUUCACACAGUUUGGUUACUUUUAACACUGCUCAUCGCCUAACACAGUUUGGUGGUUAAUAUUAUUAAAGAUAAAUAUGGAGGUAAAUUUGGACCGAGGACAAAUUCCUAACUUAAAAGAGUUUGUAGAUCAUUUAUCGUCAUUGAUGCAUUCAUCUGUUGCUGGAUCGUUAGUGCUUUGGUACGAUAGUGUUACAGUUGACGGUGAUCUGAAUUGGCAAGACCAACUAAACUAUUACAAUAAACCUUUCUUUGACAUAUGUGAUGGGAUAUUUGUUAACUAUACAUGGAAGGCUAAAAUAUUCCAUUAUGGUUCCAUUAGCUUGAUUCAUGAUCCAUGCAAGUCAGCUCAUCUUGCCGCGUUGCGAAUUGCUAAAGAAUCUGGUUGUAUUCUCUCAUAUGAUCCAAAUUUGAGAUUGGCACUAUGGCCAUCAGCUGAGGCUGCUUAGAAAGGCAUAAUGAGUGUAUGGGACAAAGCUGAUAUCAUAAAGGUGCAGAGGAGAUUACAUUUUUGGUCGAGGGUGAUGAUCCUAACGAUGAUGAUGUUGUGUUAAAGAAGGUUUUUACCCUAAUCUCAAGCUAUUAAUUGUGACACAAGGUUUAGAGGGUUGUAGAUAUUACACCAAGGUAAGUUUACUACCAAGUCCAUUUGAGAGUGAGUGGCAUAAGCACUUGUUUCAUUGUUGAUUGUGUGCACAGAAAUUCAAAGGUCGGUGGCAGAUGUUAAAGUUAACCACAUUGAUACAACUGGGCCGGUGAUGCAUUUGUUAGUGGGAUUCUCUACGGCAUUUGCUCAUAAUCAAUGUGGAGCUUGAUGCUGCCAAUGCAAUUUGGUUAUCCAUUAAUAUUUUAGAUUGUUCCAUCUUUAAGUAUUAAGUGUAUUGUUAAUGAAAGAGAUCCAUGUAACAUUAGGAUGGUCAUCUUAUUUUUUUAGGUAUCUUUUUAGUGAGAAAGUGAGAUAUUGGCCAAUGAUGUUGAAAAAUAACAUCCAAUUUUAUAGGUAUCAUGUAAUGAAUAUUAUGUUUAUCUAUAUGAUAUUUGGCUUUUUUUUUU